GACGAACGCUGGCGGCGUGCUUAACACAUGCAAGUCGAACGGAAAGGCCCUGCUUUUGUUGGGUGCUCGAGUGGCGAACGGGUGAGUAACACGUGAGUAACCUGCCCUUGACUUUGGGAUAACUUCAGGAAACUGGGGCUAAUACCGGAUAGGAGCUCCUGCUGCAUGGUGGGUGUUGGAAAGUUUCGGCGGUUGGGGAUGGACUCGCGGCUUAUCAGCUUGUUGGUGGGGUAGUGGCUUACCAAGGCUUUGACGGGUAGCCGGACUGAGAGGGUGACCGGCCACAUUGGGACUGAGAUACGGCCCAGACUCCUACGGGAGGAAGCAGUGGGGAAUAUUGCAAAAUGGGCGGAAGCCUGAUGCAGCAACGCCGCGUGCGGGAUGACGGCCUUCGGGUUGUAAACCGCUUUCGCCUGUGACGAAGCGUGAGUGACGGUAAUGGGUAAAGAAGCACCGGCUAACUACGUG
rnacentral:rRNA from 1 species